AGCGAACGCUGGCGGCAGGCUUAACACAUGCAAGUCGAGCGGGCCCUUCGGGGUCAGCGGCAGACGGGUGAGUAACACGUGGGAACGUACCCUUUGGUUCGGAAUAACGCUGGGAAACUAGCGCUAAUACCGGAUACGCCCUUUUGGGGAAAGGCUUGCUGCCGAAGGAUCGGCCCGCGUCUGAUUAGCUAGUUGGUGGGGUAAUGGCCUACCAAGGCGACGAUCAGUAGCUGGUCUGAGAGGAUGAUCAGCCACACUGGGACUGAGACACGGCCCAGACUCCUACGGGAGGCAGCAGUGGGGAAUAUUGGACAAUGGGCGCAAGCCUGAUCCAGCCAUGCCGCGUGAGUGAUGAAGGCCUUAGGGUUGUAAAGCCCUUUUGUCCGGGACGAUAAUGACGGUACCGGAAGAAUAAGCCCCGGCUAACUUCGUG
rnacentral:rRNA from 1 species